GGAUUGAACGCUGGCGGAAUGCUUUACACAUGCAAGUCGAACGGCAGCACGGGGGCAACCCUGGGUGGCGAGUGGCGCACGGGUGAGUAAUACAUCGGAACGUGUCCUAGAGUGGGGGAUAGCCCGGCGAAAGCCGGAUUAAUACCGCAUACGCUCGAAAGAGGAAAGUGGGGGAUCGGUAAGACCUCACGCCCAAGGAGCGGCCGAUCGCC
rnacentral:rRNA from 1 species